rnacentral:rRNA from 1 species
GAUGAACGCUGGCGGCGUGCCUAAUACAUGCAAGUCGAGCGAACGGACGAGAAGCUUGCUUCUCUGAUGUUAGCGGCGGACGGGUGAGUAACACGUGGAUAACCUACCUAUAAGACUGGGAUAACUUCGGGAAACCGGAGCUAAUACCGGAUAAUAUUUUGAACCGCAUGGUUCAAAAGUAAAAGACGGUCUUGCUGUCACUUAUAGAUGGAUCCGGGCUGCAUUAGCUAGUUGGUAAGGUAACGGCUUACCAAGGCAACGAUGCAUAGCCGACCUGAGAGGGUGAUCGGCCACACUGGAACUGGGACACGGUCCAGACUACUACGGGAGGCAGCAGUAGGGAAUCUUCCGCAAUGGGCGGAAGCCUGACGGAGCGACGCCGCGUGAGUGAUGAAGGUCUUCGGAUCGUAAAACUCUGUUAUUAGGGAAGAACAUAUGUGUAAGUAACUGUGCACAGCUUGACGGUACCUAAUCAGAAAGCCACGGCUAACUACGUG